rnacentral:tRNA from 1 species
AGCGUCGGCCUUGUAAGUCGAAGACCGGGGGUUUAAAUCCCUCCCAAAACA